AAAACGACUCUCGGCAACGGAUAUCUCGGCUCUCGCAUCGAUGAAGAACGUAGCGAAAUGCGAUACUUGGUGUGUAAUUGCAGAAUCCCGUGAACCAUCGUGUCUUUGAACGCAAGUUGCGCCCGAAGCCAUUAGGCCAGGGCACGUCUGCCUGGGCGUCACGCAUCGCGUCGCCCCCCUCCCUCGUCCC
rnacentral:rRNA from 1 species